AUUCUUUUGGUAAAGACCUCAAAACCUUGCAUACAAAUUCAAGAUUAGUAUAAUUUUUUUCAAGACCAUUCAAAAUAUUAAUAAUAUUCAUAAACCUUAUGAAUAUAUCAAAAAUAGACUCAUAUGCUCUGAUACCAAUUGUUGCCCAGGUAUGGCUACCCAAGAGGGAGGGAUGAAUUGGAUAUUUUAUAAAAUUUUAAGUCAAAUUAAAGCUCUAAAUAAAUGUGCUUUUAAAUUAAGUGAUUAUAUAGUGAUUAUAAUAUAUAGCAGCUGAAAUAAAGUAUAUAAGUUGCUAUGCAAGAAAUAAAAAUAAGUAAAGUAAAAAACUAAGGCA
rnacentral:lncRNA from 1 species